rnacentral:rRNA from 1 species
CAGCAGCCGCGGUAAUACGAAGGGGGCUAGCGUUGCUCGGAAUUACUGGGCGUAAAGGGAGCGUAGGCGGAUGUUUAAGUUGGGGGUGAAAGCCCAGGACUCAACCCUGGAACUGCCUUCAAUACUGGACAUCUAGAGUAUGGGAGAGGUGUGUGGAACUCCGAGUGUAGAGGCGAAAUUCGUAGAUAUUCGGAAGAACACCAGUGGCGAAGGCGACACACUGGCCCAUUACUGACGCUGAGGCUCGAAAGCGUGGGGAGCAAACAAGAUUAGAUACCCGCGUAGUCCCUGUCUCUUAUAU